rnacentral:rRNA from 1 species
GUGGGGAAUCUUAGACAAUGGGGGCAACCCUGAUCUAGCCAUGCCGCGUGAGUGAUGAAGGCCUUAGGGUCGUAAAGCUCUUUCGCUGGGGAAGAUAAUGACGGUACCCAGUAAAGAAACCCCGGCUAACUCCGUGCCAGCAGCCGCGGUAAUACGGAGGGGGUUAGCGUUGUUCGGAAUUACUGGGCGUAAAGCGCGCGUAGGCGGAUUGGAAAGUUGGGGGUGAAAUCCCGGGGCUCAACCCUGAAAUGGCCUUCAAAACUCCCAGUCUUGAGGUCGAGAGAGUUGAGUGGAAUUCCGAGUGUAGAGUUGAAAAUCGUAGAUAGUCGGAAGAACACCAGUGUCGAAGCCGGCUCACUGGCUCGAUACUGACGCUGAGGUGCGAAAGCGUGGGGAGCAAACAGGAUUAGAAACCCUAGUAGUCC